GAAGGGAGAGCUUGCUCUUCUGGAUGAGUUGCGGAACGGGUGAGUAACGCGUAGGUAACCUGCCUGGUAGCGGGGGAUAACUAUUGGAAACGAUAGCUAAUACCGCAUAAUAGUAGAUGUUGCAUGACAUUUGCUUAAAAGGUGCAAUUGCAUCACUACCAGAUGGACCUGCGUUGUAUUAGCUAGUUGGUGGGGUAACGGCUCACCAAGGCGACGAUACAUAGCCGACCUGAGAGGGUGAUCGGCCACACUGGGACUGAGACACGGCCCAGACUCCUACGGGAGGCAGCAGUAGGGAAUCUUCGGCAAUGGACGGAAGUCUGACCGAGCAACGCCGCGUGAGUGAAGAAGGUUUUCGGAUCGUAAAGCUCUGUUGUAAGAGAAGAACGAGUGUGAGAGUGGAAAGUUCACACUGUGACGGUAUCUUACCAGAAAGGGACGGCUAACUACGUGCCAGCAGCCGCGGUAAUACGUAGGUCCCGAGCGUUAUCCGGAUUUAUUGGGCGUAAAGCGAGCGCAGGCGGUUAGAUAAGUCUGAAGUUAAAGGCUGUGGCUUAACCAUAGUACGCUUUGGAAACUGUUUAACUUGAGUGCAGAAGGGGAGAGUGGAAUUCCAUGUGUAGCGGUGAAAUGCGUAGAUAUAUGGAGGAACACCGGUGGCGAAAGCGG
rnacentral:rRNA from 1 species